AAAGCUCAAAUUUGAAAUCUGGUACCUUCGGUGCCCGAGUUGUAAUUUGGAGAGGGCAACUUUGGGGCCGUUCCUUGUCUAUGUUCCUUGGAACAGGACGUCAUAGAGGGUGAGAAUCCCGUGUGGCGAGGAGUGCGGUUCUUUGUAAAGUGCCUUCGAAGAGUCGAGUUGUUUGGGAAUGCAGCUCUAAGUGGGUGGUAAAUUCCAUCUAAAGCUAAAUAUUGGCGAGAGACCGAUAGCGAACAAGUACAGUGAUGGAAAGAUGAAAAGAACUUUGAAAAGAGAGUGAAAAAGUACGUGAAAUUGUUGAAAGGGAAGGGCAUUUGAUCAGACAUGGUGUUUUGUGCCCUCUGCUCCUUGUGGGUAGGGGAAUCUCGCAUUUCACUGGGCCAGCAUCAGUUUUGGUGGCAGGAUAAAUCCAUAGGAAUGUAGCUUGCCUCGGUAAGUAUUAUAGCCUGUGGGAAUACUGCCAGCUGGGACUGAGGACUGCGACGUAAGUCAAGGAUGCUGGCAUAAUGGUUAU
rnacentral:rRNA from 1 species